rnacentral:rRNA from 1 species
UACGGUGAGGGCAGCGUGUCGGAUCGAUUGGUGCGUAAAGGGCGCGUAGGUGGCCCGGUCAGUUCGUGGUGAAAGCGCGGGCUCAACCCUGCGUCGGCCAUGAAUACUGCCGCGGCUGGAGCACUGUAGAGGCAGGCGGAAUUCCGGGUGUAGCGGUGGAAUGCGUAGAGAUCCGGAAGAACACCGGUGGCGAAGGCGGCCUGCUGGGCAGUUGCUGACACUGAGGCGCGGACAGCGUGGGGAGCAAACAGG